rnacentral:ncRNA from 1 species
AUGGUUUAUGUUCCCCGGCAAGGGGCGAAGAUGGAAGCGGGUGAGAUUCCUGCACAGAUCCUCUCUACUGUGAUGUGGAGUCUGAUUCAGGAUACCAUUGCUUAUGCGAGAAGGUGGGUCAGGCAGCGAAACUAAGUCAGGAGACAUGCAU